CUGCCUCAAGCUCCCAUCGCCAUGACCGUUGGCUACCGUGAAGAACUAGUCCCUGGAACCUCGAUCCAAAAUGGAGCCUUCUAUCGUCAAUCUGCUUUCUGGAGGUUUGUGUCUCAGCAAGGGCACAAGUAACUUAACACAGGGCCCCAACGGAGAAUCUCAGCCAGGCUAUAAGGAGUUCACUCACCAUUCGGAUGCCCAGGCUCUGUCCAGGAGAUGUUAAAGGAGUCUGCAGGUACAGUCAGCGCUCUGCAGAGAGGAUUCUGGAAGAUGCGAGCUUUCUGCAUUGGGGGCUUAUAACCCAGUCUAACAGAAGCAUUAAAGUGGAGUGACACAGAGUAGCUCUGGG